UAAGGGGUUUUUCCCCCUAGUAGCGGCGAGCGAAGCGGGAAGAGCUCAAAUUUAUAAUCUGGCACCUUCGGUGUCCGAGUUGUAAUCUCUAGAAGUGUUUUCCGCGUUGGACCGCACACAAGUCUGUUGGAAUACAGCGGCAUAGUGGUGAAACCCCCGUAUAUGGUGCGGACGCCCAGCGCUUUGUGAUACACUUUCAAUGAGUCGAGUUGUUUGGGAAUGCAGCUCAAAUUGGGUGGUAAAUUCCAUCUAAAGCUAAAUAUUGGCGAGAGACCGAUAGCGAACAAGUACCGUGAGGGAAAGAUGAAAAGCACUUUGGAAAGAGAGUUAACAGUACGUGAAAUUGUUGGAAGGGAAACGCUUGAAGUCAGACUUGCUUGCCGGAGCUUGCUUCGGUUUGCAGGCCAGCAUCAGUUUUCCGGGGUGGAUAAUGACGGUUUGAAGGUAGCAGUCUCGGCUGUGUUAUAGCUUUCCGUUGGAUACGCCCUGGGGGACUGAGGAACGCAGCGUGCUUUUUGCGAAAGACUCGUCUUUUUCACGCUUAGGAUGCUGGUGGAAUGGCUUUAAACGACCCGUCUUGAAACAACGGACACA
rnacentral:rRNA from 1 species